GUCUCAUUAGCGCAGUAAGAGAGUGACGGCCCUCACGAGGGAGAUCUGGGUUCAAAUCCCAGAUAAGACA